AUACGAAGGGGGCUAGCGUUGUUCGGAAUCACUGGGCGUAAAGCGCGCGUAGGUGGAUCAAUUAGUUGAGGGUGAAAUCCCGGGGCUCAACCUCGGAACUGCCUUCAAUACUGUUGAUCUUGAGACCGAGAGAGGUGAGUGGAAUUCCUAGUGUAUAGGUGAAAUUCGUAGAUAUUAGGAAGAACACCAGUGGCGAAGGCGGCUCACUGGCUCGGUACUGACGCUGAGGUGCGAAAGCGUGGGGAGCAAACAGGAUUAGAAACCCUAGUAGUCC
rnacentral:rRNA from 1 species